GACGAACGCUGGCGGCGUGCUUAACACAUGCAAGUCGAACGGAAAGGCCCUGCUUUUGUGCGGUGCUCGAGUGGCGCAAGGGUGAGUAUCACGUGAGUGACCUGCCCCUUACUUUGGGAUACCUUCAGGGAACUGGGGCUCAUAUCGGAUAGGAACACCUGCUGCAUGGUGGGGAAUGUUAAAUUGCGGUGUUUGGGGACGGACUCGCGGUUCAGCAGCUUGUUGGUGGGGUAGUGGCGUACCAGGGCUCUGACGGGUGGCCGCCUUGGGAGGGUGACCGGCCACAUAGGGCUAGAGGAGCGGCCCGGACUGCUACGGGGGCCAUGGGUGGGAAAUUGUGCACGAUGGGCGGAAGCCGGAUGCAGCAACUCCGCGUGCGGGAUGACGGCCUUCGGGUAGGAAACCGCUUGCGCCUGGGACGAAGCGUGAGUGACGGUAAUGGGUAAAGAAGCACCGGCUAACUACGUG
rnacentral:rRNA from 1 species